GAAGGCCGUUCAGUCACCCUCAUCAAGUUGCAUGUGGCUGUUAGAGCUCCUUGUCUCUGCUCUGAUCGUCGGAAGUCACCGACGAAGUUUUGGUCGCCCCAUUCCACUAUUCUUUUGAAUUCCGGUUGUGUAAAUGCCGCUGUAAAUUGUUCGAUGAUAUUGCUAUUGUGGAGAGUUGUUGGUGAGGCUAAUGCCACUGCUGUUGCUAAUCCGGUUUGAGGCUGUUGCUACUGCUG